rnacentral:pre_miRNA from 1 species
UAUUGAGCAUAAGUAUGUCCCAUGCAAUAUUUGGGAUAUACCUACACUAAAA